rnacentral:rRNA from 1 species
GACGAACGCUGGCGGCGUGCUUAACACAUGCAAGUCGAACGGAAAGGCCCUGCUUUUGUGGGGUGCUCGAGUGGCGAACGGGUGAGUAACACGUGAGUAACCUGCCCUUUACUUUGGGGUAACUUCAGGAAACCGGGGCUAAUACCGGAUAGGAGCUCCUGCUGCCUGGUGGGGGUUGGAAAGUUUCGGCGGUUGGGGCUGGUCGCGCGGCUUCUCGGCUUGUUGGUGGGGUAGUGGCUUACCAAGGCUUUGACGGGUAGCCGGCCUGAGAAGGUUACCGGCCACAUUGGGACUGAGAUACGGACCAGAAUCCUACGGGACGCAGCAGUGGGGAAUAUUGCACAAUGGGCGGAAGCCUGAUGCAGCGACGCCGCGUGCGGGAUGACGGCUUUCGGGUUGUAAACCGCUUUCGCCUGUGACGAAGCGUGAGUGACGGUAAUGGGUAAAGAAGCACCGGCUAACUACGUG